rnacentral:rRNA from 1 species
AUAAGGAUUGACAGAUUGAGAGCUCUUUCUUGAUUCUUUGGGUGGUGGUGCAUGGCCGUUCUUAGUUGGUGGAGUGAUUUGUCUGGUUAAUUCCGUUAACGAACGAGACCUUAACCUGCUAAAUAGUACGUUGAUGCAUAAUUGGCGUUACUUCUUAGAGGGACUAUGCGCUUUGAAACGCAUGGAAGUUUGAGGCAAUAACAGGUCUGUGAUGCCCUUAGAUGUCCUGGGCCGCACGCGCGCUACAAUGACUCACUCAGAAAGUA